GACGAACGCUGGCGGCGUGCUUAACACAUGCAAGUCGAACGGAAAGGCCCUGCUUUUGUGGGGUGCUCGAGUGGCGAACGGGUGAGUAACACGUGAGUAACCUGCCCUUGACUUUGGGAUAACUUCAGGAAACUGGGGCUAAUACCGGAUAGGAGCUCCUGCUGCACGGUGGGGGUUGGAAAGUUUCGGCGGUUGGGGAUGGACUCGCGGCUUAUCAGCUUGUUGGUGGGGUAGUGGCUUACCAAGGCUUUGACGGGUAGCCGGCCUGAGAGGGGGACCGGCGACAUUGGGACUGAGGUACGGCCCAGACUCCUACGGGAGGCAGCAGGGGGGAAUAUUGCACAAUGGGGGGAAGCCUGAUGCAGCAACGCCGCGUGCGGGAUGACGGCCUUCGGGUUGUAAACCGCUUUGGCCUGUGACGAAGCGUGAGUGACGGUAAUGGGUAAAGAAGCACCGGCUAACUACGUG
rnacentral:rRNA from 1 species